rnacentral:rRNA from 1 species
GUCUACAGCCAUGCCACCCUGAACAAGCCCAAUGUCUGAUCUCAGAAGCUAAGCAGGGUUGGGCCUGGUUAGUACUUGGAUGGGAGACCACCUAGGAAGAUCAGGUGCUGUAGGCA